rnacentral:lncRNA from 1 species
UGCCUGUGAUCCCAGCUACUUGGGUGGCUGGCUGAGACACAAGAAUCACUUGAGCCCAUGAGGUGGAGCUUGCAGCGAGUCAAGAUCAUGCAACUGCACUCCUGCCUGGGCGACAGAGUGAGAUUCUGUCAAAAAAAAAAAAAUAUGAAGGUCUGUUUCUUUUCCCAUCAGAAACACAGCCAAUCUACAUUUCCCAGCCUCCCUUGCAAUUAGAUGUAGCCAUGUGGCUGAGAUAUGGCCAAUGAAAUGUGGGAAGAAGUCUUGGUUUAGGAAAACUUCUCAUGAGUGUUCCUUUCUCUUUCUGUUGGUCAAAUGCUGAAGAUCCAGUGAAGAACUCCAUGAUCCUAGAGCCAAAGCCGCUCAAUGAUCUCUUGGUGAUCACUGAAUUGAACCACCGAGGGAUCUGCUGACUCUUCUAAAAUCACUACAGUGUCACUACCACAGCACUACAGCAUCACUGCCACAACCAAGAAAACCACCACCAUCAGAAAGCUCCUGCCUGCUGCCAGCUCCAGAACCAUGCAGCACCUGCAUCAACACCAGUAAAACAGAUGACUUAUGGCCUGCCUCUCAAGUCUUAAAAAUCCAUUAUGGGUCACUGGAGACUCUGCUAACAACACUAUACAGGAGAACCAAACAACAGUUAAAACUGCAGAAAUGUAGCCUCAUUUCUAGCCUCCAAAUUCCAUGUGACUACAUCUAAUUUGCUAGAUAUAGUUUGUUUAAGCUACAUUUUUUUUUCCAAAUCAUGACUGCCUGAGAACCUGAGAGAUGUAGUGUUUUGUUUUCCUGCCUCUACAGUACAGAAAAGAUCACUAGGAGGAGAGAGAAUGACUGUGGCAUGCCACCUUACUAGAGCCUCUCCAUGUCCUACCUGAGAACUUCUUGUUAAUUGAGAAAACUCUUCUUU